rnacentral:rRNA from 1 species
UCUAAGUCCCGCAACGAGCGCAACCCUUGUCUUUAAUUGCCAUCAUUGAUUGGGGCACUUUAAAGAGACUGCCGGUGUUAAACCGGAGGAAGGUGGGGAUGACGUCAAGUCCUCAUGGCCUUUAUGCCCAGGGCUACACACGUGCUACAAUGGGUGGUACAAAGAGCAGCCAGCUCGCGAGAGUGAGCAAAUCUCAAAAAGCCAUCCUCAGUUCGGAUUGAAGUCUGCAACUCGACUUCAUGAAGUUGGAAUCGCUAGUAAUCGCGGAUCAGCAUGCCCGCGGUCGAAUACGUUCCGGGCCUU